rnacentral:tRNA from 1 species
AGGCCGGUAGCUCAGUUGGUUAGAGCGCGAAGCUUAUACCUUCGUGGUCGGUGGUUCGAGUCCACCCCGGCCUA